rnacentral:lncRNA from 1 species
AUUUUUCAGAUGGUUUCUUAGCUCUCCAAUACAAUAAAAAGAACACGUAAAUAUAGGGGAUAAUGAAAUCCUUACUAACAGGUGUCAGUUAACUUUAGCCCUUUUCUCGCAGAAACCACGCUUCAUCCCUGAAGUACGAGAGACUCCUGAGACAAGGGUGAAUUAUUUGCCCUGUUCAAAUAGAUAACUAUAAUUUACAGUUUUUCAUUUCAGUUAUUUUCUUUGUAGAUGUAUCUUUCCAAAGUUAUAAAGUCAAUUUGAUUUUUCCUGAAUAAUCAUGUUACACCCUGAGGUGAUGAAAGAAGAUUCGAGAACCCAGCUGCUUUCCUGUAUUCAAAACUGGUUGAAAGCACGAAGGUUUAUUCUUCUUCUUGUUUAUAUAAAAGGGUGAAGUCCAUAUCAAUUAUAUGGUUUUCAAGAUCCUGCAUUAUCUAUGGUUUAUUCAACCAACCACAAUCUUGGCUUUCCUAAGAUUGGCACCAAUCAUGAAAAAAAUCCAUUUUUCCCUACAGGAAAACAAUUCUUACCUCGAUUUCUAAAUGUGAGGGAAUUCAUGGCUCUGAAUUGUGGUAAUCAAGUAUUCUCAAUUUGUUACAGACAGUUGCCUUAUCUUAUAUUAAUAUUUCCAAAUAUUCAUUCAGACACUUCUCCAUGUGGAUCACUUCUCUCAAGCACAUACUAUUCUAAACAGCCAACUUGCUGUUUAACUCUUCCUCAAGCAUCAGGCUUUAGCUUAGGUACAAAUUUUUAUAGGAUGCCUACCCUACAAGGUAGGUAUGUGGGGUCCUACCUGCGUGUGCACAUAGCAUCCUGCAUUUCCUCCAUCGAAUGGUUAUUAUAUCUUGAUUUCCUAUUCACUUAAUUGUAUUGUCUACUAGACUCUUAGCUCCAUGAGGGCAGGGGCUCUUUCUCUCUUGUUCACACAUCUGUACUCAGUUCUGGAUAGUGCUUAGAACCAUUAGAUGCUCAAUUAACAUUAGUUAAGUGAAUUAAUGUAGCAAAUAUAUGUUAGAGUUCUAAGCCUUAUGUCAUAUUGUUCCUUUUUUGGGAAAGCCCACAUUUUUGUUUAUAUUUUUGUAUUAAAUAUUAUUUAUUUACAAAUAAUCUCAAAUAUACAGAAAAGUUGAAAGAACAGUGUAAAGAAUUUCUUUUCCUGAACUAUUUGAGACUACAUUGCCAAAUUGUUGCCUCAUGAUCCCUUAAUCUCUUUGGGCUGCUGUAACAAAAUACCUUAGACUGAGAAAUUUACAAACACAGAAAUUAAUUGCUCAAAAUUCUGAAGCCUGGGAAGUUCCAGAUUAGGUGCAGCUCUUUCAGUGUCUGGUGAGGGUCCAUUCCUCAUAGAAAGUGCCUUCUAUGCGUCCUCCUAUGGUGGAAGGGCAAGGAGACUCCUCCUCCAAGUUUCUUUUAGAAGGGCAUUAAUUCCAUUCCUGAGGGCUUCACUCUCAUGACCUAAUCAUCUUUUAAAUGAUGAUUUUAACCCUGCCUCUUAAUAUCAUCCCAGGGUGGCUUAGGUUUCAGUAAAUGAAUUCACAGGGUGGGGAGGGGACACAAAAAUAUUCAGACCAUAGUAACUCAUAAUACUUUUAACAUGUGUUUUCUAAAUGUUUUCUAAAACACAUGGACAUUCGCCUAUAUAACCAACAUGGAACCACUGAAAUUAGAAAAUACAAGAUAAGUGACUACUAAUUUUCAGACCCUUUUCAAUUCUUGUCAAAUGUACCAAUACAUCCUGAUCCAUACAUGGAAAUGGCAGGUCUGUUGGAUGGAAGAAAUGAAUUAACCAAUCCCUGAGCUACCUUAACUCAUGA